UGGGGAAUAUUGGACAAUGGGGGGAACCCUGAUCCAGCCAUGCCGCGUGUGUGAAGAAGGCCUUAUGGUUGUAAAGCACUUUAAGCGAGGAGGAGGGUACUGGUAUUAAUACUACCAGCUACUGGACGUUACUCGCAGAAUAAGCACCGGCUAACUCUGUGCCAGCAGCCGCGGUAAUACAGAGGGUGCGAGCGUUAAUCGGAUUUACUGGGCGUAAAGCGUGCGUAGGCGGCUAAUUGAGUCGGAUGUGAAAUCCCCGAGCUUAACUUGGGAAUUGCAGUGGAUACUGGUUAGCUAGAGUAUGGGAGAGGAUGGGAGAAUUCCAGGUGUAGCGGUGAAAUGCGUAGAGAUCUGGAGGAAUACCGAUGGCGAAGGCAGCCAUCUGGCCUAACACUGACGCUGAGGUACGAAAGCAUGGGGAGCAAACAGG
rnacentral:rRNA from 1 species